GCUAAUAAUAAUUUAAUGGUUUCUCCUCGUAUGUGGCCACUUCCUAUUGCAGAUAUAGAGAUACACAGAGGUGAGAGUCCAACCACCCACGGGAGUCUGGGCGGCUGCUGUGAGUGGGGAUGGAAACAUCAUCUCUGCAGGGGAGAGGGGGCUUCCUCCUCUCUGCCUGGAUGCUUGGAAACAUGGAAGAACUAUGAAGCAAAUGGUCUCUGCGUUGAGACCAUUCCAUAAUCUGCUUUGUGUCACUGUCACUUGCAUGCCAAACCCAGCCCUGUGAGACUCCAAUUGUCUGGAACAUCGGUGAACAGGAAGGCAGAAGAAAGAGAACAUGAUGAAGAAUCUGCUGGCUCAGACAGCAGUGCCGGGAAGUGUCACGUGCCACUUUCACUCACAUUUUAUGACUGAAGCAUGACUUGGCAGUAUGAAUUCAGGAAAUUGGUGAAGUACAAUUCUACUAAGGAAGGAUGCUGAAAAGAGCUGGAGAUGCUAAUCUGUAAAAUGAGAAACAGCGAAACUAAGCCUCCAUUAGAGUAUGUACAAAUUUGCAUCUUUAAAGCAGAAAUAAAAUCCUAGAAAUUUGUGCAUGCAUAUUGUCCCCCAACUACAC
rnacentral:lncRNA from 1 species